rnacentral:rRNA from 1 species
UCGUAGCGGAUGAAGGGAGCUUGCUCCUGGAUUCAGCGGCGGACGGGUGAGUAAUGCCUAGGAAUCUGCCUGGUAGUGGGGGAUAACGUCCGGAAACGGGCGCUAAUACCGCAUACGUCCUGAGGGAGAAAGUGGGGGAUCUUCGGACCUCACGCUAUCAGAUGAGCCUAGGUCGGAUUAGCUAGUUGGUGGGGUAAAGGCCUACCAAGGCGACGAUCCGUAACUGGUCUGAGAGGAUGAUCAGUCACACUGGAACUGAGACACGGCCCAGACUCCUACGGGAGGCAGCAGUGGGGAAUAUUGGACAAUGGGCGAAAGCCUGAUCCAGCCAUGCCGCGUGUGUGAAGAAGGUCUUCGGAUUGUAAAGCACUUUAAGUUGGGAGGAAGGGCAGUAAGUUAAUACCUUGCUGUUUUGACGUUACCAACAGAAUAAGCACCGGCUAACUUCGUGCCAGCAGCCGCGGUAAUACGAAGGGUGCAAGCGUUAAUCGGAAUUACUGGGCGUAAAGCGCGCGUAGGUGGUUCAGCAAGUUGGAUGUGAAAUCCCCGGGCUCAACCUGGGAACUGCAUCCAAAACUACUGAGCUAGAGUACGGUAGAGGGUGGUGGAAUUUCCUGUGUAGCGGUGAAAUGCGUAUAUAUAGGAAGGAACACCAGUGGCGAAGGCGACCACCUGGACUGAUACUGACACUGAGGUGCGA